rnacentral:lncRNA from 1 species
AGCCUAAAAUACACAGUGAGUCUCAGAACCCCGCGGAAGCUGUGGCUCAUUUCUAAAGGUGCUGGCAAUAUCGAGGAAGACUUGUAUCCACAAAAUUCCAAAUGGAAAAGAGAGAAAAGAGAACAACAAACAGAUGUGUGAAAAAAAGACACGAAGUACAAAACGGAUGUAUUAAUGGCAAAUAGAGUAAACUUGAAGCCUGAAAUUGCAGCACUCAUUUGGUGACCAGGAGUGGGCAAACAGAAGGACAAAGGCCUACAAGAUUAAAUAAUCAAGUCAUUAUUGUGAAUUUGGAUCUAAAUGACCUGGCAGAAACCAUGGAGAUGAUCUUGGAUUUAAAGAGGAAAAACUCAAAGCAAUGUAUUCUGAUCAAGAAAUGGCAGGAAAUGGCAGCUACCUGAUAUGGAACAAUCAACAACUGAAGGUUUAUUUUGAAUGAGAGGUGUUGUCCAACUGCGAGACGGAGUGAUUGAAGCUGAGAAUAAAUGGAAACACAAUCAAUAGUCACUCCAGUGAGGUAGGAAAGAAAGCCAUUCCGAAGUGGCAGAGAAGCUGCUUUUUCCUCCUGCAUGCUGCCUGCUAGUGUGGAUCUUGGCAUAACAGACACUACUUGGCAAAAGAUCCAUCCUUCCUUUUCCUAUACUUUGCUCAGCGGCCUGGAAGAUUGACCUCAAAAGCAAAAUCACCUGGAUUUCCUUGCCAUUUGGCUUUCAAAUGUGCUCAGCCAAUGACAGGCUGGAAAGAAAUUGACAGCUGGGAAAAGAGGAAGAUUUGUGUACAAGAUCCCUUCCACUCCCAUCUCAUUACCUGCCAUGGUCCUAGCAGUGGCUGUUCUUAUUAUGGCCACAACUACUCUUGGACAGGCCAACAUCCACAACUCCAUCCUUCAACUAGGCUUCAUUAACACUGUCCCUCACCCUUAUCUCUUUCUGGGUAGGGGUGAUAAAGGUUUCCUGACAUCAGAGUUCCUGAGUGCCUCAUAUAUUCUUGUUGGUCCCUGAACCUUGCCCCAACAUCAAUAAAAAGUUCCUUCAUUAAAUAA